GUACAUUCCACUUGAAUAGGUGCCGAGUAAGGCAUAAUAGGGAAUCUGGUGUGAAUCCAGAACUGUACCCGCAACUGUAAAUGCAUAGAAACUUGUCGAGCCACUGUGAUGUCAUCAUGGGAAGGGACUUGAAUCGUCGUAAAGCAUAAGUCAGGAGACCGAUCUAUUCAAUAACGUGCUA
rnacentral:ncRNA from 2 species